rnacentral:rRNA from 1 species
UACGGAGGGUGCAAGCGUUGCUCGGACUUACUGGGCGUAAAGCGCGUGUAGGCGGUUUCGUGUGUCUGAUGUGAAAUCCCCGGGCUCAACCCGGGAAGUGCAUUGGAAACUGCGAGACUAGAGUCCCGGAGAGGAAGGUGGAAUUCCAGGUGUAGCGGUGAAAUGCGUAGAUAUCAGGAAGAACACCCGUGGCGAAGGCGGCUCUCUGGGACGGUACUGACGCUGAGACGCGAAAGCGUGGGGAGCGAACAGG